CUCUUAUCAAGAGAGGCGGAGGGAAUAGGCCCUAUGAUGCCCGGCAACCACCAAGCAAUUGCUUGGAAAGGUGCUAAAUCCUACAGAUCGGCAACGGUCUGGCAGAUGAGAG
rfam:Planomicrobium sp. ES2 genome assembly, contig: CONTIG000001